GACAGAGGCCUCAAGCGUUAGGCGGAAUCACUGGGCUUAAAGCGUGUGUAGGCGGAUCGUUAAGUGUCUUGUGAAAUCCCACGGCUCACCCGUGGAACUGCUGGGCAUACUGGCGAUCUUGGGCCAACUAGGGGCAACUGGAACAAGCGGUGGAGCGGUGAAAUGCGUAGAUAUCGCUUGGAACGCCAACGGUGAAAACAGGUUGCUGGGGUUGU
rnacentral:rRNA from 1 species